GUGCAGCAGGCGCGAAACCUCCGCAAUACACGAAAGUGUGACGGGGUUACCCAAAGUGUCCAAAUUUGGACUGUGGUAGGUGAGUAAUGUCCCCCUACUAGAAAGGAGAGGGCAAGGCUGGUGCCAGCCGCCGCGGUAAAACCAGCUCUUCAAGUGGUCGGGAUAAUUAAUUGGGCUUAAAAGUGUCCGUAGCCGGUUUAGUAAGGUUCCUGGGUAAAAUCGGGUAGCUUAACUAUCUGUAUGCUAGGAAUACUGCUAUACUAGAGGGCGGGAGAGGGUCUGAGGUACUACGAGGGGUAGGGGUGAAAUCCUGUAAUCCUUGUAGGACCACCAGUGGCGAAGGCGUCAGACGUGGAACGCGCCU
rnacentral:rRNA from 1 species